CCUCAUUGAUCCUGCCAGUAGCAUUUGCGUGUCUCAAAGAUUAAGCCAUGCACAUGUAAGUACACACAACCGGUACAGUGAAACUACAAAUGGCUCAUUGAAUCAGUUAUGGUUACUUUGAUUUCUGCAUCUGAUACUUGGAAAACUGUGGUAAUUCUAGAGAUAUUCCAAGCCGAUGGAUGCUGACAUCCAGGAAUGCAUUCAAACAUCAGACCAAGACAAAUCGGGCUCACCCGUUCACUUUGGUGACUCUAGAUAAGAUUGGGCAGAUCACACGUCCCUGUGAAACGACAAUACAUUCAGAUGUGUGCCCUAUCAGCUUUCAAUGAUAGAUUCUCUGCCCACCAUUUUGACCACGGGUAACAGGGAAUCAGGCUUCAAUUCCAGAGAGCGAGCUUGAGAAAUGGCUGCAACAUCCAAGGCAGGCAAAAAGUGCACAAAUUACCCAAUCUCGACUCAGGGAGGUAAUGAUGAAAAAUAAUUAUACAGGACUCUUAGGAGGCCUGUAAUUGGAAUGAGUACACUCAAGAUCCUUUAACAAGGAUCCAGUGGAGGGCAAAUUUAGUGCCAACAGCCAGAGCAAUUCCAUCUCCAAAAGUGUGUAUUGAAGUUGCUGUAGUUAAAAAUCUUGUAGUUGGAUCUUGGGAUUGAGUUGGUGUCCCCUGCCUCUCGGCACCACACGGAUGCUCUUGACUGAGCAUUUACUUUUAACACAUUAGAGUGUUCAAAACAGGCAUGUUACCCAAAUUCUUCAGCUAGUAAUGAUGGAAUAGGAUUCUGGUUCUAUUUUGAUGGUUUUUGGAACUGGGAUCAUGAUUAAGAGGGACGACCGGGGGCAUUUAUAUUGUUCCUCUAGAGGUGACAUUUUUAGAAUGUUGUAGUUCCGACCACUAACAACGCUGACUGAUGUUAUUCCCAUGACACACCAAGCAGCUUCCAAGAAACCAAAGUAUUUGGGUUCCAGGGAGUGUAUGGUUGCAAAGCUGAAACUUAAAGGAAUUGACAGAAGGGCACUUCAACUUAAUUUGACUCAACAGGGGAAACCUCACCCAACCCGGACACCGAAAAGGUUGACAGAUUGAUAGUUAUUUUGCAAUUCUGUGGGUGGUGGGUGCUUGGCAAUUUGUCUCAUUAAUUCAGAUGAAAAAUGAUACUACUGCAAGCUAAUUAGUUAGGUGACCCCCAGUGGUCGACGUUCAGCUUCUUAGAUGGAAAGAUUGAGUUCAGCCACACGAGAUCAAGCAAUAACCGGUGUAUGACGUCUGGGGUUGCACGUGUGCUACACUGAAUGGAUCAGCAUGUUUCUACCCUUCGUAGACAAGUGCCAAGAACCCACUGAAACUUGUUUGUGAUAGAAAUUGGUGAUUGCAAUUAUUUCCCAUGAACGAGGAAUGCCCAGUAAGUGCGGGUCAUGAGCUUGCAUUAAUGAAGUCCCUGACCUUUGUACACAUCGCCCACCGCUACUACCGAUUGGAUGUUUUGUGAGGUCCUCGGAUCAAUCCCACCAAGGUUGGGCAAUGGCCCUGGUGGAGUGCCAAGGAGACAAUCAAACUUGACUAUCUAGAGGAACUAAAAGUCAUAACAAGGUUUCCAUAGGUGAACAUGCAGAAG
rnacentral:rRNA from 1 species